ACCAGCCGCUAUGGUCGCUCCUCUUGAUGAAGAAGGUUUAUUCUCAUGACACAUUUCAUAGCUUUAUAAUCUGGGCUAUUAGAAAACAGAAAGCCCAAGGAGCAUUUAUGACAUCUUAUAAGGCUGAGGUUAUUUUAAAACCUCAUGAAACCAUGGACAAAUAUUCUUCAAAAUCUGAAAGUAUGAUUCUGGGAGUCUGGGUGUGGAGAGAAACACUUCUCCGGUAUUAAUUGUACCAAACAAAUACAGGAGCUGGAAACCAGCAGGAGGAAAGUUUCGGUGUCUGUAAUGACUUGGAUAUAGGAUACAGGACACCAGGUGAAGAGUGAGGGAUCAGCAGAGCCCUUGCAGGAAUCCAACCAGCUGAUGCUGUGAGAAUACCACCCUGUCACCUACAAGAAAACAUGAGCUGAUAAAAACUGCAUCAGCACUUGGAGGAAGAAUGAGAAUUUCCAGCCGCAAAAAAAGAAAAUGAUGAAGGUCCAUCCACAUUUCCACAAAUGGCAGAAUUUCAUUCCUCUCCAUGGGUGAGUAAUACUCCAUUGAAUGUAUCACCUCUCCUUUACCAACUCAUCCGCUGAUGGACACUUAAAUUGUUUCCAUAUCUUGGCAAGUGUAAAUAAUGCUGCUUUGAACACUGGAUAUAGGUAUAUCUUUUUUGAAUACGUUUUUUUGUUUGUUUGUUUUCU